GCCUGGGUGGCUCAGUGGUUAAGCGUCCGACUUCGGCUCAGGUCAUGAUCUCACAGUUCGUGGGUUUGAGCCCCGCGUCAGGCU
rnacentral:tRNA from 1 species